rnacentral:rRNA from 1 species
UACGAAGGGGGCUAGCGUUGUUCGGAAUUACUGGGCGUAAAGCGCACGUAGGCGGACUAUUAAGUCAGGGGUGAAAUCCCGGGGCUCAACCCCGGAACUGCCUUUGAUACUGGUAGUCUCGAGUCCGGAAGAGGUGAGUGGAAUUCCGAGUGUAGAGGUGAAAUUCGUAGAUAUUCGGAGGAACACCAGUGGCGAAGGCGGCUCACUGGUCCGGUACUGACGCUGAGGUGCGAAAGCGUGGGUAGCAAACGGG